UACGUAGGGGGCAAGCGUUGUCCGGAUUUAUUGGGCGUAAAGAGCUCGUAGGCGGUGUGUCGCGUCGGCCGUGAAAACCUGCAGCUUAACUGUGGGCUUGCGGUCGAUACGGGCAUCACUGGAGUUCGGCAGGGGAGACUGGAAUUCCUGGUGUAGCGGUGAAAUGCGCAGAUAUCAGGAGGAACACCAGUGGCGAAAGCGACUUUCUGGUCCUUAACUGACGCUGAGGCGCGAAAGCAUGGGGAGCGAACGGG
rnacentral:rRNA from 1 species